CCAGAGAACUUUCCAGAGAUGGAUUGGUGCCUUUCGGGAACUCUGAGACAGGUGCUGCAUGGCUGUCGUCAGCUCGUGUUGUGAAAUGUUGGGUUAAGUCCCGCAACGAGCGCAACCCUUUAUCCUUUGUUGCCAGCGGUUAGGCCGGGAACUCAAAGGAGACUGCCAGUGAUAAACUGGAGGAAGGUGGGGAUGACGUCAAGUCAUCAUGGCCCUUACGAGUAGGGCUACACACGUGCUACAAUGGCGCAUACAAAGAGAAGCGACCUCGCGAGAGCAAGCGGACCUCAUAAAGUGCGUCGUAGUCCGGAUUGGAGUCUGCAACUCGACUCCAUGAAGUCGGAAUCGCUAGUAAUCGUGGAUCAGAAUGCCACGGUGAAUACGUUCCCGGGCCUUGUACACACCGCCCGUCACACCAUGGGAGUGGGUUGCAAAAGAAGUAGGUAGCUUAACCUUCGGGAGGGCGCUUACCACUUUGUGAUUCAUGACUGGGGUGAAGUCGUAACAAGGUAAGCGUAGUGCU
rnacentral:rRNA from 1 species